rnacentral:rRNA from 1 species
UUGACCUCAAAUCAGGUAGGAUUACCCGCUGAACUUAAGCAUAUCAAUAAGCGGAGGAAAAGAAACUAACAAGGAUUCCCCUAGUAACUGCGAGUGAAGCGGGAAAAGCUCAAAUUUAAAAUCUGGUAGCUUUUGCUGCCCGAGUUGUAAUCUAGAGAAGCAUUAUCGGUGCUGGCGCGUGUACAAGUGUCCUGGAAUGGACCAUCAUAGAGGGUGAGAAUCCCGUCUUUGACACGACUGCCUAGUGCUUUGUGAUGUGCUCUCAAAGAGUCGAGUUGUUUGGGAAUGCAGCUCUAAAUGGGUGGUAAAUUCCAUCUAAAGCUAAAUAUUGGCGAGAGACCGAUAGCGAACAAGUACCGUGAGGGAAAGAUGAAAAGAACUUUGGAAAGAGAGUUAAACAGUACGUGAAAUUGCUGAAAGGGAAACGCUUGAAGUCAGUCGCGUUGGCUGGGGAUCAACCUUGCUUUUUUGCUUGGCUUACUUCCCAGUUGACGGGUCAGCAUCAGUUUUGACCAGUGGAUAAAGGUUAGGGGAAUGUGGCACCUCUGGGUGUGUUAUAGCCCCUGGUCAUAUACAUUGGUUGGGACUGAGGAACCCCCACUUUUGUGUAAA